GACGAACGCUGGCGGCGUGCUUAACACAUGCCAGUCGAACGGAAAGGCCCUGCUUUUGUGGGGUGCUCGAGUGGCGAACGGGUGAGUAACACGUGGGUAACCUGCCCUUGACUUUGGGAUAACUUCAGGAAACUGGGGCUAAUACCGGAUAGGAGCUCCUGCUGCAUGGUGGGGGUUGGAAAGUUUCGGCGGUUGGGGAUGGACUCGCGGCUUAUCAGCUUGUUGGUGGGGUAGUGGCUUACCAAGGCUUUGACGGGUAGCCGGCCUGAGAGGGUGACCGGCCACAUUGGGACUGAGAUACGGCCCAGACUCCUACGGGAGGCAGCAGCGGGGAAUAUUGCACAAUGGGCGGAAGCCUGAUGCAGCAACGCCGCGUGCGGGAUGACGGCCUUCGGGUUGUAAACCGCUUUCGCCUGUGACGAAGCGUGAGUGACGGUAAUGGGUAAAGAAGCACCGGCUAACUACGUG
rnacentral:rRNA from 1 species